rnacentral:rRNA from 1 species
GCAAGUCGAGCGGUAACAGGGGGUGCUUGCACCCCGCUGACGAGCGGCGGACGGGUGAGUAAUGCAUAGGAAUCUGCCCGAUAGUGGGGGAUAACCUGGGGAAACCCAGGCUAAUACCACAUACGUCCUACGGGAGAAAGGGGGCUCCGGCUCCCGCUAUGGGAUGAGCCUAUGGCGGAGUAGCUAGUGGGUGAGGUAACGGAGGACCAAGGCCACGAUCCGUAGCUGGUCUGAGAGGAUGAUC